rnacentral:rRNA from 1 species
CGCGGUGAAUACGUUCCCGGACCUUGUACACACCCGCCCGUCAAGCCAUGGAAGUCAGGGGGACCUGAAGCCGGUAACCGCGAGGAGCCGGUCAAGGGUUAAACUGGUAACUGGGGCU